CUCCUACGGGAGGCAGCAAUCAGGAAUAGUCGGCAAUGGGCGAAAGCCUGACCGCGCGAUACCGCGUGUAGGAUGAAGGUCCAAAAGAUCGUAAACUACUGUGGCAGGGGAAGAAAAUAAUGACGGUACCCUGCUAGAAAGGAGCCGCUAACUGCGUGCCAGAAGCGUCGGUAAUACGUGGGCUUCAAGCGUUAUCCGGUUUUAUUGGGCGUAAAGGGUCGUGUAGGCGGUUUGGUAAGUUACCUUGUAAAUCUGCAGGCUCAACCUGUAAACUUGGGGUAAUACUGCUAGACUAGAAUAUUCUUUAGGGUGAACGGAACUAUGGGAGGAGUAGUGAAAUGCGUUGAUACCCAUGGGAACACUCGUGGCGAAGGCGGUUCACUGGAAGAAUAUUGACGCUGAGACGCGAAAGCUAGGGGAGCGAAGCAGAUUAGAGACCUGCGUAGUCCUAGCCGUAAACGCAUGCCUGCUGGCUGCAUGAUUUUUCCGCAAGGGAAUUUCGUGUGGCGAAGCUAACGCGUAAGC
rnacentral:rRNA from 1 species